AUGAACGCUGGCGGCGUGCCUCAUACAUGCCAGUCGAGCGAACGGACGAGAAGCUUGCUUCUCUGAUGUUAGCGGCGGACGGGUGAGUAACACGUGGAUAACCUACCUAUAAGACUGGGAUAACUUCGGGAAACCGGAGCUAAUACCGGAUAAUAUUUUGAACCGCAUGGUUCCAAAGUGAAAGACGGUCUUGCUGUCACUUAUAGAUGGAUCCGCGCUGCAUUAGCUAGUUGGUAAGGUAACGGCUUACCAAGGCAACGAUGCAUAGCCGACCUGAGAGGGUGAUCGGCCACACUGGAACUGAGACACGGUCCAGACUCCUACGGGAGGCAGCAGUAGGGAAUCUUCCGCAAUGGGCGGAAGCCUGACGGAGCAACGCCGCGUGAGUGAUGAAGGUCUUCGGAUCGUAAAACUCUGUUAUUAGGGAAGAACAUAUGUGUAAGUAACUGUGCACAUCUUGACGGUACCUAAUCAGAAAGCCACGGCUAACUACGUG
rnacentral:rRNA from 1 species